rnacentral:rRNA from 1 species
GAUCAUGGCUCAGGACGAACGCUGGCGGCGUGCCUAACACAUGCAAGUCGAACGGAACUGUUUUGAAAGAUUUCUUCGGAAUGAAUUUGAUUUAGUUUAGUGGCGGACGGGUGAGUAACGCGUGAGUAACCUGCCUUCAAGAGGGGGAGUAACAUUCUGAAAGAAAUGCUAAUACCGCAUGAUAUAUCGGAACCACAUGGUUUUGUAUAUCAAAGAUUUAUUCGCUGUAAGGAAUGGACGUCGCGUCCGU